UCCUCGUUAGUAUAGUGGUCAGUAUCCCUGCCUGUCACGCGGGAGACCGGGGUUCAAUUCCCCGACGGGGAGA
rnacentral:tRNA from 1 species